rnacentral:rRNA from 1 species
UACAGAGGGGGCAAGCGUUGUUCGGAAUUACUGGGCGUAAAGGGCGCGUAGGUGGCCUUCUAAGUCGGACGUGAAAUCCCCAGGCUCAACCUGGGAACUGCGUCCGAUACUGGAUGGCUUGAAUUCGGGAGAGGGAUGCAGAAUUCCAGGUGUAGCGGUGAAAUGCGUAGAUAUCUGGAGGAAUACCGGUGGCGAAGGCGGCAUCCUGGACCGACAUUGACGCUGAGGAGCGAAAGCUAGGGGAGCAAACGGG